rnacentral:rRNA from 1 species
AGAGUUUGAUCCUGGCUCAGGACGAACGCUGGCGGCGUGCCUAAUACAUGCAAGUCGAGCGGACUUUAAAAGCUUGCUUUUAAAGUUAGCGGCGGACGGGUGAGUAACACGUGGGCAACCUGCCUGUAAGACUGGGAUAACUUCGGGAAACCGGAGCUAAUACCGGAUAAUCCUUUUCUACACAUGUGGAAAAAGCUGAAAGACGGUUUACGCUGUCACUUACAGAUGGGCCCGCGGCGCAUUAGCUAGUUGGUGAGGUAACGGCUCACCAAGGCAACGAUGCGUAGCCGACCUGAGAGGGUGAUCGGCCACACUGGGACUGAGACACGGCCCAGACUCCUACGGGAGGCAGCAGUAGGGAAUCUUCCGCAAUGGACGAAAGUCUGACGGAGCAACGCCGCGUGAGUGAUGAAGGUUUUCGGAUCGUAAAAACUCUGUUGUUAGGGAAGAACAAGUACAAGAGUAACUGCUUGUACCUUGACGGUACCUAACCAGAAAGCCACGGCUAACUACGUG